GACAGAGGGUGCAAACGUUGCUCGGAAUUACUGGGCGUAAAGCGCACGUAGGCGGACUAUUAAGUCAGGGGUGAAAUCCCGGGGCUCAACCCCGGAACUGCCUUUGAUACUGGUAGUCUCGAGUCCGGAAGAGGUGAGUGGAAUUCCGAGUGUAGAGGUGAAAUUCGUAGAUAUUCGGAGGAACACCAGUGGCGAAGGCGGCUCACUGGUCCGGUACUGACGCUGAGGUGCGAAAGCGUGGGGGAGCAAACAGG
rnacentral:rRNA from 1 species